AUGAGCGAAGCGGAGGCGCCUCUCAUCACCGAGGAGGCGGCGGAGCGCGGCUUGGCGUCCUCCGGCAGUCGCCGCCUCAGCGACGGGGGCGGCGAGCAGGGCUCUAGGAAGUACCGCAGGCGGUCGGACGCGCUAGCCUAUGGCGACCGUUACCAGAAGGCGGCCGCUCUCGUCGACCUCGCAGAAGAUGGUGUUGGCAUCCCUGAGGAUGUCUUGAAUGAUACGAGGUUCGGGAGGGCAAUGAGUUUCUAUUUUGUGUAUCUCCGGUUGGACUGGCUGUGGUCACUUAACCUGUUUGCUUUGAUUCUUUUGAAUUUUCUCGAGAAGCCUCUAUGGUGCCGGAAAGAUGCUCUACAUGCUUGUGAUCAAAGGGAUCUUUACUUUCUCGGGCAGUUGCCAUACUUCAGCAAAACUGAAUCACUCAUCUACGAGGGCCUUACACUUGUUAUUCUUGUAAUGGACAUCUUUUGUCCACUUUCUUAUGAAGGCCUAAAUAUUUUCUGGAGGAGCACCACGAAUAAGUUGAAGAUUGUUCUUCUCUUCAUCUUAGCAUGCGACAUACUGGUGUUUGCCUUUAGUUCCCAACCUUUCAGAUUAGCUCCAUACAUCCGCGUAGUUUUUCUAAUCAUGACUAUCAGGGAACUGCGAAUGUGUGCUAUCACACUGGCCGGUCUUAUUGGGACAUACCUCAAUGUUUUGGCCCUCUCUCUGUUGUUCCUCUUAUUUGCAAGCUGGCUAGCUUAUGUAACAUUUGAGGACACUCCACAAGGGAAGACCAUUUUUUCAUCAUACGGUGUAACACUGUAUCAGAUGUUUGUCCUCUUCACCACCUCCAAUAAUCCUGAUGUAUGGGUGCAUGCUUACAAGAUAUCCCGCUGGUAUUCCCUAUUUUUCAUCGUCUACGUGCUUUUGGGAGUUUACUUCCUGACAAAUUUGAUUCUUGCUGUCAUCUAUGAUAGCUUUAAGGAGCAGUUCGCAAAGCAACUUGUUCAGGUGGACUCUAUCAGGAAAAAUAUAUUACAGAAGGCAUUUGAUCUUAUCGAUACCAACAAUCGGGGUUAUCUCGACAGGGAACAGUGCAUAUCAUUGCUUAAUGAGCUGAACAAGUACAGGUCCUUACCAAAGACUUCAAGGGAAGAUUUUGAAUUAAUUUUUGCCGAGCUUGAUCGAAGUGGUGAUUUCAAGGUUACCUCCGAAGAAUUUGCUGACCUAUGCAAUACCAUUGCAAUAAAAUUUCAGAAAGAACCACCGCCGUCUUAUCUGGAAAAGUUCCCAUUCUACCAUUCACCACUUUGUGGGAGGUUGAAAUCUUUUGUGCGGAGCCGCAUGUUUGAGUACAUUAUUGUUUUUGUUCUUCUGAUAAACCUUGUUGCCGUCAUUAUCGAAACAACGCUUGAUAUAGAAAACAGCUCCUCACAGGAAACGUGGCAGGAAGUAGAGUUCUUUCUUGGAUGGAUUUAUGUAGCCGAGAUGGCACUGAAAAUAUUUUCAUUAGGAUUUGGUGCUUAUUGGAUGGAAGGCCAAAACAAAUUUGAUUUUGUGCUUACUUGGACUAUAUUUAUUGGAGAGACUCUAACGUUUGCCUUCCCGUCAAAGCUUCCCUUUCUUUCAAAUGGAGAAUGGAUUCGGUAUCUUCUCCUUGGAAGGGUGUUGCGCUUAACAAGAAUUUUGCUGCAAGUUCAGCGUUUCAGAGCAUUUGUUGCAACAUUCUUUACCCUGAUGUCUAGUUUGAUGCCAUAUUUGGGGAUAGUAUUCUGUGUUCUUUGCAUGUACUGCUCCAUUGGUUUGCAGAUUUUUGGGGGCAUUGUGUAUGCUGGUAACCCAACACUAGAAGAAACGGACCUCUUCAAUAAUGACUACCUUCUUUUUAACUUCAAUGACUAUCCAAGUGGUAUGGUUACUCUGUUCAAUUUGUUAGUGAUGGGCAAUUGGCAAGUAUGGAUGGAGAGUUAUUGGCAACUGACUGGAACUUCUUGGAGCCUGAUUUAUUUUGUCAGCUUUUACCUUAUUUCAAUAUUACUACUGCUUAAUCUGAUUGUAGCAUUUGUGUUGGAGGCAUUUUUUGCUGAGAUGGAACUGGAGAAAGGUGAAGAGGUUGAUAUCCAGAAUCCUACGUCUGGAGGAAUAAAGAAACGCCGGUCUAUGCGUGUGAGGUCAAAGGGUACGAUGGUUGAUAUUCUUCUGCACCAUAUGCUGAGCAAUGAACUUGAUGGAUCUCAAAACUCUUGA
rnacentral:rRNA from 1 species